rnacentral:tRNA from 1 species
GGGCUAUUAGCUCAGUCGGUUAGAGCGCACGCUUGAUAAGCGUGAGGUCCCUGGUUCGAGUCCAGGAUGGCCCA